GGAUGGAGUGCCUUCGGGAGCGUGGAGACAGGUGGUGCAUGGUUGUCGUCAGCUCGUGUCGUGAGAUGUUGGGUUAAGUCCCGCAACGAGCGCAACCCUUGCUAUUAGUUGCUAACAGGCAGAGCUGAGCACUCUAAUGGGACUGCCGGUGACAAGCCGGAGGAAGGUGGGAUGACGUCAAAUCAUCAUGCCCUUUAUGACCUGGGCUACACACGUGCUACAAUGGAUGGUACAGAGAGCAGCGAGGCAGCGAUGUGGAGCGAAUCUCAAAAAGCCAUUCUCAGUUCGGAUUGGAGUCUGCAACUCGACUCCAUGAAGUCGGAAUCGCUAGUAAUCGCGAAUCAGCAUGUCGCGGUGAAUGCGUUCCCGGGCCUU
rnacentral:rRNA from 1 species